GAAGAAAAAGCAUCGGCUAACUCCGUGCCAGCAGCCGCGGUAAUACGGAGGAUGCAAGCGUUAUCCGGAAUCAUUGGGCGUAAAGGGUCCGCAGGUGGCGAAUAAAGUCUGCUGUUAAAGACCGGGGCUAAACUCCGGAAAGGCAGUGGAAACUGAUUAGCUAGAGUACGGUAGGGGUAGAGGGAAUUCCCAGUGUAGCGGUGAAAUGCGUAGAUAUUGGGAAGAACACCGGUGGCGAAAGCGCUCUACUAGGCCGAAACUGACACUGAGGGACGAAAGCUAGGGUAGCGAAAGGGAUUAGAUACCCCUGUAGUCUUAGCGGUAAACGAUGGAUACUAGGUGUAGCUUGUAUCGACCCGAGCUGUGCCGAAGCUAACGCGAUAAGUAUCCCGCCUGGGGAGUACGCACGCAAGUGUGAAACUCAAAGGAAUUGACGGGGGCCCGCACAAGCGGUGGAGUAUGUGGUUUAAUUCGAUGCAACGCGAAGAACCUUACCAGGGCUUGACAUGUCGCGAAUCUAGCGGAAACGUUAGAGUGCCUUAGGGAAUGCGAACACAGGUGGUGCAUGGCUGUCGUCAGCUCGUGUCGUGAGAUGUUGGGUUAAGUCCCGCAACGAGCGCAACCCUCGUCCUUAGUUGCCAAUAUUAAGUUAGGCACUCUAGGGAGACUGCCGGGGACAACUCGGAGGAAGGUGGGGAUGACGUCAAGUCAGCAUGCCCCUUACGUCCUGGGCGACACACGUACUACAAUGGUUGGGACAAAGGGCAGCAAACUCGCGAGAGUAAGCGAAUCUCAUCAAACCCAGCCACAGUUCAGAUUGCAGGCCGCAACUCGCCUGCAUGAAGUAGGAAUCGCUAGUAAUCGCAGGUCAGCAUACUGCGGUGAAUUCGUUCCCGGGCCUUGUACACACCGCCCGUCACACCAUGGAAGCUGGCUACGCCCGAAGUCGUUACCCUAACCCGGUUUUGGGAGGGGGAUGCCGAAGGUAGAGCUAGUGACUGGGGUGAAGUCGUAACAAGGUAGCCGUACCGGAAGGUGUGGCUGGAUCACCUCCUUU
rnacentral:rRNA from 1 species